UGUGUACGUAUGCUACACGCAAUCGUUGUGCUUCACUAAGCCACAGUGCACUACAAAGUUAAGCAUGAGCGGUACACAAAAUUCACAAGUUCUUAGUAUUGCCAAGAACAACCAUUGCUUGGUGAAGUUCUCACAGGCGUUGUAGAAGUUGUUGGGCACGGCAGUGCUGAACGUAGCGUUAGCGGCUUAAAUCGUGUUUUUUACUAGUAACAACGUGUCACUAUUUCAUAUUAUUGGCGGCGUCUCCAGGACACCAAAUCGGUAACGGGGACACCAGAGCUAGAACGCGGACUGGUCCAUGAGUUGGGGCUCGCCGAGGCCUGCGCGUGCUAGUAGUAUAUCUUGAUGUCUGUAGGCUGUGUGUAAGUCGUACUUUCCGAAUUUUCUGACGCAUUUUAAGAUCAGCUGUCCGCUUUCGCAGACAAGGCUGGAGUCAGGGUGGUCCGUGAGUUGGGGCAACAUAACCUGCUUCCAGUUUGGGACCGCCCUGCUUCCAGUUUUGAUCCCUCCGCUGCCCCUUGGGUACCCUGCCGCCUCCUUGAUUAUAAUGUAAUGCUCUCCUGAGGCCUCUGUUUGCCGGUUACAUGUGCCCUCCUGGAGCACUACUUGUAAAUGAAUCCGAUCUAUCGUCGCAACGAAAAAAGCACCCCGCGACUUCUACAACACCAGUCAGAACCUUGCCCAUUGGUUUACAUAUGUGUGGCCGCAAAUAUCUGAAACAUAAUGCCAGUUCAACAGGUUUGUUGGCAAGGGUGUCAGGUCGUUGCUUUGUGUUGAAUCGGCCUUUUCUCAAUUCUUAAGAAUUUAAUUGGAAUGCACCUGACCAGUGCUGCUUUGUGGUGCUUGCCACCAGUCCCUUGGACAGGGAAGACAUAUGAGAAUCCCUGUGCAUACACUUUAUACGCAGUGGUGUGACCGCUUCCUUUGGGAAACUACCACGUUAGCGAUAUUGUGAGCGCAAUGUGACUUUCCUUCAUCUUCCUCAUCCGUACGUAGUGUGUGUCGCUUCUUCCUCGCCAUAGCUCUAGCUCGGCAAGAAUAAAGCGGUUCCUUAGAAGUGGUGGAGGUGCUGGGGUUCUGCAUACCAAGGACGUAUAAGGUCACAAAGCUGCACCCAGGUAGAGGCAGAAUCCAAAAAUGCUUGUGUACUUAAGUAUAGCUGCACAUUACAGAAUCCGAGGCCCUCAAGAUUUAUCCGUAGCCCUCGAGUUCCAUAUUUUUUAUUGGGAUUGAAGAGUAACGUUUGUGCUCUGUUGUGCGUUGAUUUUCUGAUGUCCUUGCAUUUGCUAUAGCAAGGAUUUUUAAAAAUCAGCCACAAAAGAAAAAAUAAAUGGUCAAGGAACGAAGUGGUGUGUAGCAGCUCCCUUUUUUUUUAAUCGGCGGCAAGUUUUGCACUCGUGUGUUAGCAACACUGUUUCGCCAGUUGUGUACUUCAAAAGAAGUGUUACCAUUCUGCUUUGGAACUUUGUGGUUUUGUUCUGCCAGCUGCUUCACCAACACAAGCAAAAUGUACUUUGGAUAUUCCACAAAUUCAUUCUGUAUGCAUUUGGUACAAUAAAAUUUGUUUCAAGAAUGGACAAAUGCAGUGAUGGUUAAUUGAAAACUGCAACAUGCCGAGUUUCAUGCUUCAUUAAUUUUCUCAGCCCCAAAGAAAGCAUGCAAGGUUUGAAAAUGUAUCAUGUGACAUUAGUGCACUCGGUCUAGAAAACUGAUUAAUGCUGCACAUACAUUGAACAUGGUGGCCAUGACCAUCCCUCAUGAACUGGCAUUCCCUGCCUAAACCACCUCACCAAGACAGCUUGUUGACAGCAAGAAAGCUGACGGGGCUUCCAAGAAUUUCUAUGCACUAUUUAUUACUAUCGCCCUACUGAAAUUGCUCCAUUGCUUUGCUGACAAUUGUCUUGACAAAAGUGGAAGCCGAAUCUGUUGAGGUCGAUCAGUUUUAUUUACAUACAACCUAUUAUAAAGUGGACCUUUCUUCGCCUCUUCAACUGUUCCCACAGCUGCUGCUGCCAUCUUGCACGCCACAUCGAGGAGGAGGGCAAUGUACAUGGCAGGUGCAUGGGAGGAUUUUCCAAGGAACUCUGGAAAGCUGUAAUCAGAUUGUGGGCAAAGUUAAAAACUUAAAUACAAAAAGGGUGUAGAGUAUUGUAACCUUGUACAUGUUGAUCACACCACAUGUUUCAGCUACAGCUAUAAGUGCCUUGUCUCAUCAACCAAGCUACAGUUCUUGCAAUGUUACACUUUGUGAUACUCAGUAUGAAUUGAUAAGACUAGCUGCUAUUCUAGUGGUUGUGCAGGCCACAAGGGAACAGUGCCUGGCCUUUGUGCUUGUAUGUGUCAAUUUCUCUCUUUCAGUCUCGCCCAAGCCACACUAAAAUGUUAUCCACAAGUGUCGUGCCAAAAUGGCCUGGCGACAUUUCGUAUUAAGCCGUUUGACCCAUUUAUUGCACUGAUGCACACAGUGCAACCAAAUGAAGGAAAUGACAUCGCCUAGGUGAUUAUUAAAUUACCCUUCUAAAAUACCACAAGAGGAAUUUUGCUGUGGCAAGAGCCUUAGCAAAACCAUAAGAGACACAAAAAUGAAGGAAAAGCGACACCUUCAAGUUCCCGCACCAACUCACCAUGAGAAGCACGAAUUUUGGCAGUGUCUGCUUGAGCUUAGUUAUUUGCAGAUACAUGCAGUUGAAUGCUUUUACAAGCAUUGAGAUGCCCCACUAUGCUAGCUUGCCUUUUAUGGCUAUAGAAAGUUGUAUACUGCCACAAGUCUGCCUAUUCCGAUUGGAAUCUAUAUUGAAGCUGCUUUGAGCAACGGGCGGUAUUCUAUUUCAGCGCUAAUGAUACAUUGACAGUAGUGUGCCUGGAAGGAAUAGACAAAAGCAUUGCAGAAGCUGCAGCACUUUGUGCUCGCUGAAUGAUCAUACGAGAAGGUAAAGAUGCCAUCAGAAAGCAUCCUUCGUAUAGAGUCUCUUUAAAAGAAAAAUACAUCUAGACAUGGUGACAGUUGUGGUGGCAAACUAAAAAUAUUAUAAUGAUAGUUCAAGGUGUGGUAUGGCAUGUUUAUGCUAUUUCUGAAAAAAUAAACACGGCAAGUGUGUCCAUGCCAACAAUUGAGACAGGAUGUGCAGAUGCAAAGCUGCAAUACAGCACCACAGCGUCAAAAGCACAGUAUGCAAGUGGUGGUCCAGCAUCAAAACUUCAAUGUCCCUACACUACAACACUGGGAGGCCAUGCUGCAUGACAGAAGCCUGUGUGGCCAGCAGGCGCUGCUCUGUCGGGCACAGGACGUGGCAGCAACUAUUUCUCCUAAGGAUUCAAUAAACGGAUUUCUCUACCUCA